UUGAAUUUUUAAUGAAGAGUUUGGUUGUAGCUGGUCCAUUAACUUGGGCAAUGUGCACACCUCUCUCUUUCAUCCAUACACACACCUGUGAACCUGUGAGACAGAUGGGGGAAAUUUUACUUUGUUCAGAUAACAAUGAAUGAAGCAAUCGGGAACCCUCUGUCUACUUAAUCUCAUAUAAACUCAAUUUAUUUUAAAAUGAAUGUAAUGGAUGUAACACAUCUAAUAC
rnacentral:misc_RNA from 1 species